rnacentral:tRNA from 1 species
CAAAAAGUAGCUUAUAAAAGCACCUAGCUUACAACUAGGAGAUGCCGACACAACGACCUUUUUGA